rnacentral:tRNA from 1 species
GCGCCCGUAGCGUAACGGAUAACGCACUAGCCUCCGGAGCUAGACAUGGCAGUUCGAUUCUGCCCGGGCGCGCCA